rnacentral:misc_RNA from 1 species
GAUGAAGAACGUAGCGAAAUGCGAUAAGUAAUGUGAAUUGCAGAAUUCAGUGAAUCAUCGAAUCUUUGAACGCACCUUGCGCUCCUUGGUAUUCCGAGGAGCAUGCCUGUUUGAGUGCCAUGAAAUUCUCAACCUUUUCAGCUUUCUUUGUUGAUCAGGCUUGGAUGUGGGAGUAUGCGGGCUUCUCAGAAGUCGGCUCUCCUGAAAUGCAUUAGCGGGACCUUUGUUGCCUGGCUUUGGUGUGAUAAUUAUCUACGCCAUUGUGGUCAAGCAGCUUAAAAUGAGGUUUCAGCUUCUAACCGUCUCCCCUGAGACAACUUUUUGACAAUUUGACCUCAAAUCAGGUAGGACUACCCGCUGAACUUAAGCAUAUCAAUAAGCGGAGGA